GGUAGCGAAAUUCCUUGUCGGGUAAGUUCCGACCUGCACGAAUCGUGAAACGAGUUGGGCACUGUCUCAACCAGGCGCUCAGUGAAAUUGUAGUGGCGGUGAAGAUGCCGCCUACCCGCAGAAGGACGGAAAGACCCUAUAGACCUUAACUGUAAGCUGUCAUUGUUUCUUCGGUUUUAAUGCUCAGAGUAAGUGGGAGACGCUGAAGACGCCCUUUAGGGGGCGUCGGAGUCAUCAAUGAGACACCACCCUUUGAAACUGGAGGAUCUAACCCUGAGCCGUGAAUCCGGCCAGAGGACCGUGUCAGCCGGUCAGUUUUACUGGGGCGGUAUCCUCCCAAAGAGUAACGGAGGAGCGCGAAGGUGGGCUCAGCCCGGUUGGCAACCGGGUGUCGAGUGCAUGGGCAUAAGCCCGCCUAACUGUGAGACCAACAAGUCGAGCAGAUGCGAAAGCAGGCCCAAGUGAUCCGGCGGUAGAAAGUGGAAUUGCCGUCGCUCAACGGAUAAAAGGUACCUUAGGGAUAACAGGCUGAUCACGCCCAAGAGUUCAUAUCGACGGCGUGGUUUGGCACCUCGAUGUCGGCUCGUCGCAUCCUGGGGCUGGAGAAGGUCCCAAGGGUCCGGCUGUUCGCCGGUUAAAGCGGCACGCGAGCUGGGUUCAGAACGUCGCGAGACAGUUCGGUCCUCUAUCCUCUGUGGGCGUUGGAAAAUUGAGGGGUUCAGACCUUAGUACGAGAGGACCGGGUCUGACGCACCACUGGUGCAUCGGUUGUACUGUCAAGUGCAUGGCCGAGUAGCUAAGUGCGGACGGGAUAAGCGCUGAAAGCAUCUAAGCGCCAAGCCCAUCCCAAGAUGAGUUUUCCCUAUAGGUUCGUGGAAGACCACCACGUUGAUAGGUCGCAGGUGUAAGUGCAGCAAUGUAUUGAGCCAAGCGAUACUAAUCACCAAUAGACUUCAUCAU
rnacentral:rRNA from 1 species